rnacentral:rRNA from 1 species
GUUUGAUUAUGGCUCAGGAUGAACGCUAGCGGCAGGCUUAACACAUGCAAGUCGAGGGGCAGCGUGGAGUAGCAAUACUCUGACGGCGACCGGCGAAAGGGUGAGUAACGCGUGAGCAACAUGCCCGGUAGUGGAGGAUAGUCGAUGGAAACGUCGUGUAAUACUCCGUAACAACAGAGACCGCAUGAUCUUUGUUUAAUAGAUUUAUUGCUAUCGGAUUGGCUCGCGUACCAUUAGCUAGUUGGCGGGGUAACGGCCCACCAAGGCGACGAUGGUUAGGGGUUCUGAGAGGAAGGUCCCCCACAUUGGAACUGAGACACGGUCCAGACUCCUACGGGAGGCAGCAGUGAGGAAUAUUGGACAAUGGCCGGAAGGCUGAUCCAGCCAUGCCGCGUGCGGGAAAGACGGCCCUAUGGGUUGUAAACCGCUUUUGUUGGGGAGCAAUAAGGUCCACGUGUGGAUCGAUGAGAGUACCCAGCGAAUAAGCAUCGGCUAACUCCGUGCCAGCCGCUGC